rnacentral:rRNA from 1 species
AUACGGAGGGUGCAAGCGUUAUCCGGAUUCAUUGGGUUUAAAGGGUGCGCAGGCGGAUAUUUAAGUCAGUGGUGAAAUCCCGGGGCUCAACCUCGGAACUGCCAUUGAUACUGAAUAUCUGGAAUACGGUUGAAGUGGGCGGAAUGUAGCAUGUAGCGGUGAAAUGCAUAGAGAUGUUACAGAACACCGAUCGCGAAGGCAGCUCACUAAGCCGAUAUUGACGCUCAGGCACGAAAGCGUGGGGAGCGAACAGGAUUAGAAACCCUAGUAGUCC